GGCUGAAGCCAGGCUAGCAGUUUCCUGCCAGCAGCUGGAGAGGCAGGAACUCCCUCGGCCAAGACAUGGGAAGAAGUUUGUUUGCAAGUACAGCUCGUGAUAGUUCUGGAGGCUUGAGCAAUGAUACUAAGUUAUAGCCAGACAGAGAAAUAUGUUUGCAGAGGAUAAUACACAACAUGGCCAAAGGUUUAAACAGCCCAAGUAGAGAGCACCAUUUGUAUAUUCUGCUACAAGGAACACACACACCAGUUGUGGCAGAAAAUGUUUACAUGAGCCCAUGUUACAGGAGAGUAAGACUGACAUGUUCCUGACACAACAGCCAGAUGGUCUGGAGAAUCGCCCAAGAGCCAACAGAUCAGGGUUCAAGCUCUUCUGCACCUGAUUUAGGCUAGAGACUUGAACUAAAUUCUCUUACAACAUAGAUAAAUGCCCUCACCACUGGCUGGGUGGUUAUUUCUUGGAAAGCAGGCAUGUUCCAACUUAGAUGUGAGCAAAUCCUUGGAUGGGAUUUUUUUAGCUAGCUGAGACUGCGGGAGUCACUCAUCCAGGUGUAAAAUCAAAGUGUUAGCCUGCUUAUAGUACAUGCUAGGACCAAUGGGAGUCGGGGAUGCAGGAUCUGUCCUGUGCUGCUUAGUGAGCAACACAGGCACCUUGAAGGAUCAGUUCCUAAAAGUGGUGUGCACUUUUUUAAGAAGAGGAAGAAUAUUGUUUCAGAGGCCUGAAACUUCACUUUCCCCUUGAAUCUCCCCCCACCCCCCUCUUAUUUCAUAAGGUCUUCCUUUCAUGCCUGAGCUUUGUGGGGUAACACCACUGCUGUUAAAGAAUUGCCCUGAGCCUGGCUGUAUCUCAGUGGGAGGUAACUGUGACAAAAGUUUCUAGAGAAGAGCUACCCUGCCUUCAGUGAUGGGCUGAUAAUCAUGCUUGGCUCUUCCUUAGUGCCCUCUGUCAAUAUUUUUACCCUGCUUUAUUGCACAAUGAGGGUGUUUGAUUCCUGGCCAUCUGACACCUUCUAUGUCCAUGCACACCACUGAAAAGGCGUGCUUAUGAAACGCCCCAGUAUCAAACCACUGCGGUCCCAGGCCCAUGUGGCAUUUAUGUCAUGGUCAGUGAUGGGUGACAUAGCCCCUUGCAUCUAAUCUAAGAGGCAAAUAGUACCUGAUCAGAUGGGGAGCAUUUUACCCCCACUUUGUGCACAGGUAAAUCCACGCAGGUUUCUAGUUUUGGGGAAGCAGGAAGCAGCCUCUCUAGCUAGAUGCUUUGCCUCUCCCCUUCUUGCUUAUUAUUUGCAAAGCCUCUUGAAGCAGAAUAAAAUUCAACUCAAGUAUUCUUCCUAUGGCUCUUCCUCCACUCAUUCUGGACCUCCAGGCUGCUGACACAAUCACGAAUGAAUGAAGAGGAAUUAGCCUGUAAUUCCCUCGGUGGUUGCAUUAUCUGGAAAUGGGGUAGGGCAAUGGGACAGUCCUACCACUUCAGUCACAACCCUGAUCAAUUUAUUUUUAAAUAUCCCCCAUGGUAGAUGAGGGAAGCCAAGAAACACCAGCCCAGUAAAUUAACUUCUGUAGAAAUGCUUUCUUUUCUCCGUUUUGAUGUGGCGCAACAGUCCACCUUUAACAUGAUGUAUUAGCACUAUAUUAAGCAAGCUACCACUCUAUAUCCAUCAUUUCUGCUGUGCAUUAAACCUGGUUACCACGCAUUAAUCAUUGAUGCUGUGUGUUAAGUGGAGAUGCUUUUGUAACAGUAGAACCUGUUGGAAAACAAAGGGGAAAGAAAAUGGAAAAUUGCUUUUUGCAAGUAAGUUUAAAGUAACCUUCUUCUGGCCAUAUUAACCUCAACAGAGAGACUGGAAGUCUUGACAUCACUUUGUGGUAGCUUUAUUCCCUAACUGUUUUAUCACAUCUCUCAGGGGGCCUUGACAACUGUGAUUCUCCUGGACAUUUCAUGGAAGAGCCAGCCAGGGUAUAUAGCAAUCUGGAGUGAAACAAUUUCACUUGGUCCUCUUAUACUGGUACAGACAGGCUGUCAAACCUUGCUUGCUAUUUUCCAGGUCAGAUUGGAAAAGGGAGCCAAACAAAGAUGAUGAUUAAAAAUAACCUAGUUAAAUGUGGUGGAUUUCAGAUUUGCCUAUACAGU